rnacentral:rRNA from 1 species
CUACGGGAUGCUCCAGUCGAGAAUCUUCGGCAAUGGACGAAAGUCUGACCGAGCGACGCCGCGUGCGGGAUGAAGGCCUUCGGGUUGUAAACCGCUGUCAGAGGGAAGGAAAUUUUGACCGAUCCUCAAAGGAAGUACGGGCUAAGUUCGUGCCAGCAGCCGCGGUAAGACGAACAGUACAAACGUUAUUCGGAAUCACUGGGCUUAAAGGGUGCGUAGGUGGUCUAUUAAGUUGGGUGUGAAAUCCCUCGGCUCAACCGAGGAACUGCGCUCAAUACUGGUAGACUUGAGGGAGAUAGAGGUGAGCGGAACUGAUGGUGGAGCGGUGAAAUGCGUUGCUAUCAUCGGGAACACCUGUGGCGAAAGCGGCUCACUGGAUCUCUUCUGACACUGAGGCACGAAAGCUAGGGGAGCGAACGGGAUUAGAUACCCCAGUAGUC